rnacentral:rRNA from 1 species
UUAAGUUAUUAAGGGCGCACGGUGGAUGCCUUGGCACUAGAAGCCGAUGAAGGACGUUACUAACGACGAUAUGCUUUGGGGAGCUGUAAGUAAGCUUUGAUCCAGAGAUUUCCGAAUGGGGAAACCCAGCAUGAGUUAUGUCAUGUUAUCGAUAUGUGAAUACAUAGCAUAUCAGAAGGCACACCCGGAGAACUGAAACAUCUUAGUACCCGGAGGAAGAGAAAGAAAAUUCGAUUCCCUUAGUAGCGGCGAGCGAAACGGGAAGAGCCCAAACCAACAAGCUUGCUUGUUGGGGUUGUAGGACACUCUAUACGGAGUUACAAAGGACGACAUUAGACGAAUCAUCUGGAAAGAUGAAUCAAAGAAGGUAAUAAUCCUGUAGUCGAAAAUGUUGUCUCUCUUGAGUGGAUCCUGAGUACGACGGAGCACGUGAAAUUCCGUCGGAAUCUGGGAGGACCAUCUCCUAAGGCUAAAUACUCUCUAGUGACCGAUAGUGAACCAGUACCGUGAGGGAAAGGUGAAAAGCACCCCGGAAGGGGAGUGAAAUAGAACCUGAAACCGUGUGCUUACAAGUAGUCAGAGCCCGUUAAUGGGUGAUGGCGUGCCUUUUGUAGAAUGAACCGGCGAGUUACGAUUUGAUGCAAGGUUAAGCAGUAAAUGUGGAGCCGUAGCGAAAGCGAGUCUGAAAUAGGGCGUUUAGUAUUUGGUCGUAGACCCGAAACCAGGUGAUCUACCCUUGGUCAGGUUGAAGUUCAGGUAACACUGAAUGGAGGACCGAACCGACUUACGUUGAAAAGUGAGCGGAUGAACUGAGGGUAGCGGAGAAAUUCCAAUCGAACCUGGAGAUAGCUGGUUCUCUCCGAAAUAGCUUUAGGGCUAGCCUCAAGUGAUGAUUAUUGGAGGUAGAGCACUGUUUGGACGAGGGGCCCCUCUCGGGUUACCGAAUUCAGACAAACUCCGAAUGCCAAUUAAUUUAACUUGGGAGUCAGAACAUGGGUGAUAAGGUCCGUGUUCGAAAGGGAAACAGCCCAGACCACCAGCUAAGGUCCCAAAAUAUAUGUUAAGUGGAAAAGGAUGUGGCGUUGCCCAGACAACUAGGAUGUUGGCUUAGAAGCAGCCAUCAUUUAAAGAGUGCGUAAUAGCUCACUAGUCGAGUGACACUGCGCCGAAAAUGUACCGGGGCUAAACAUAUUACCGAAGCUGUGGAUUGUCCUUUGGACAAUGGUAGGAGAGCGUUCUAAGGGCGUUGAAGCAUGAUCGUAAGGACAUGUGGAGCGCUUAGAAGUGAGAAUGCCGGUGUGAGUAGCGAAAGACGGGUGAGAAUCCCGUCCACCGAUUGACUAAGGUUUCCAGAGGAAGGCUCGUCCGCUCUGGGUUAGUCGGGUCCUAAGCUGAGGCCGACAGGCGUAGGCGAUGGAUAACAGGUUGAUAUUCCUGUACCACCUAUAAUCGUUUUAAUCGAUGGGGGGACGCAGUAGGAUAGGCGAAGCGUGCGAUUGGAUUGCACGUCUAAGCAGUAAGGCUGAGUAUUAGGCAAAUCCGGUACUCGUUAAGGCUGAGCUGUGAUGGGGAGAAGACAUUGUGUCUUCGAGUCGUUGAUUUCACACUGCCGAGAAAAGCCUCUAGAUAGAAAAUAGGUGCCCGUACCGCAAACCGACACAGGUAGUCAAGAUGAGAAUUCUAAGGUGAGCGAGCGAACUCUCGUUAAGGAACUCGGCAAAAUGACCCCGUAACUUCGGGAGAAGGGGUGCUCUUUAGGGUUAACGCCCAGAAGAGCCGCAGUGAAUAGGCCCAAGCGACUGUUUAUCAAAAACACAGGUCUCUGCUAAACCGUAAGGUGAUGUAUAGGGGCUGACGCCUGCCCGGUGCUGGAAGGUUAAGAGGAGUGGUUAGCUUCUGCGAAGCUACGAAUCGAAGCCCCAGUAAACGGCGGCCGUAACUAUAACGGUCCUAAGGUAGCGAAAUUCCUUGUCGGGUAAGUUCCGACCCGCACGAAAGGCGUAACGAUUUGGGCACUGUCUCAACGAGAGACUCGGUGAAAAUCAUAGUACCUGUGAAGAUGCAGGUUACCCGCGACAGGACGGAAAGACCCCGUGGAGCUUUACUGUAGCCUGAUAUUGAAAUUCGGCACAGCUUGUACAGGAUAGGUAGGAGCCUUUGAAACGUGAGCGCUAGCUUACGUGGAGGCGCUGGUGGGAUACUACCCUAGCUGUGUUGGCUUUCUAACCCGCACCACUUAUCGUGGUGGGAGACAGUGUCAGGCGGGCAGUUUGACUGGGGCGGUCGCCUCCUAAAAGGUAACGGAGGCGCUCAAAGGUUCCCUCAGAAUGGUUGGAAAUCAUUCAUAGAGUGUAAAGGCAUAAGGGAGCUUGACUGCGAGACCUACAAGUCGAGCAGGGUCGAAAGACGGACUUAGUGAUCCGGUGGUUCCGCAUGGAAGGGCCAUCGCUCAACGGAUAAAAGCUACCCCGGGGAUAACAGGCUUAUCUCCCCCAAGAGUUCACAUCGACGGGGAGGUUUGGCACCUCGAUGUCGGCUCAUCGCAUCCUGGGGCUGUAGUCGGUCCCAAGGGUUGGGCUGUUCGCCCAUUAAAGCGGUACGCGAGCUGGGUUCAGAACGUCGUGAGACAGUUCGGUCCCUAUCCGUCGUGGGCGUAGGAAAUUUGAGAGGAGCUGUCCUUAGUACGAGAGGACCGGGAUGGACAUACCUCUGGUGUACCAGUUGUCGUGCCAACGGCAUAGCUGGGUAGCUAUGUGUGGACGGGAUAAGUGCUGAAAGCAUCUAAGCAUGAAGCCCCCCUCAAGAUGAGAUUUCCCAACUUCGGUUAUAAGAUCCCUCAAAGAUGAUGAGGUUAAUAGGUUCGAGGUGGAAGCAUGGUGACAUGUGGAGCUGACGAAUACUAAUCGAUCGAAGACUUAAUCAA